UACGUAGGGGGCAAGCGUUGUCCGGAUUUAUUGGGCGUAAAGAGCGUGUAGGCGGCCAUGCAGGUCCGCUGUGAAAACUGGAGGCUUAACCUCCAGACGUCGGUGGAAACCGCAUGGCUAGAGUCCGGAAGAGGAGAGUGGAAUUCCCGGUGUAGCGGUGAAAUGCGCAGAUAUCGGGAAGAACACCCGUGGCGAAGGCGGCUCUCUGGGACGGUACUGACGCUGAAACGCGAAAGCGUGGGGAGCGAACAGG
rnacentral:rRNA from 1 species